GGUCAAGCGAACAAGGGCGCAGGGCGAAUGCCUUGGCACUGGGAGCCGAUGAAAGACGUGAUAAGCUGCGAUAAGCUUCGGGGAGCUGCAAAUAAGCAUUGAUCCGGAGAUUUCUGAAUGAGGAAACUCACCUGGGUUCAUACUCAGGUACGUUAUACUGAACUUAAAAAUAGGUAUAUCGAGGGAACCGCCUGAACUGAAACAUCUAAGUAGGGCGAGGAAGAGACAUCAAACGAGAUUCCGUAAGUAGUGGCGAGCGAACGCGGAAGAGGGCAAACCGGGAGUAGAAAUACUUCCGGGGUACGGACCGCAUUUAGGACUUAAGUUGUUAACCGAACGGCAUGGGAAGGCCGGUCAGAGAGUGUGAGAACCACGUAGGUGAAAACGACAAGAGCUGAGCGAGUUCCAGAGUACGGCCAGACACGUGAAACCUGGUCGGAAUACGGGGGGACCACCCUCCAACCCUAAAUACUACCCAGUGACCGAUAGCGUAUAGUACUGUGAAGGAAAGGUGAAAAGCACCCCGGGAGGGGAGUGAAAAAGAACCUGAAACCCUGUGCCUACAAGCACCUAGAGCACGUCAAAGUGUGAUAGGGUACUUUUUGUAGAACGGUCCGGCGAGCGAUUGUAUGCAGCAAGGUUAAGGACUUAAGGUCUGGAGCCGAAGCGAAAGCGAGUUUGAAAAGGGCGUUAAGUUGCAUACAAUGGGCCCGAAACCGGGUGACCUACCCAUGGUCAGGUUGAAGUGGAAGUAAAAUUCCAUGGAGGACCGAACCGACCUCCGUUGAAAAGGCGGCGGAUGAACUGUGGGUAGCGGAGAAAUUCCAAUCGAACCCGGAGAUAGCUGGUUCUCCCCGAAAUAGUUUUAGGACUAGCCUCAAGUUAGAUACCUGGAGGUAAAGCACUGAAUAGCCUAGCGGCCGAGAGGUUAGCGAAGCUUAUCAAACUCAGAAUGCCAGAGUAUUGAUGCUUGGGAGUCAGACAGUGUCAGAUAAAUGUCAUUGUCAAAAGGGAAACAGCCCAGAUCUACAGCUAAGGUCCCAAAGUCAGGUUAAGUGGAAAACGAUGUGAAGAUACGUAGACAACCAGGAUGUUGGCUCAGAAGCAGCCACACAUUCAAAGAGUGCGUAAUAGCUCACUGGUCGAGCGUCUUUGCGCGGAGAAUUUAACGGGGCUAAACCUGACACCGAAGCUUAGGCAAUACAGCAAUGUAUUGGGUAGGGGAGCGUUGUAUACGCGGUGAAACAGUAGCGCAAGCGGCUGUGGAGUGUAUAGAAGUGAGAAUGCCGGAAUGAGUAGCGCGAAUGCAGUGAGAAUCUGCAUGGCCGAAAGCCUCAGGUUUCUGGAGGAAGGUUCGUCCGCUCCAGGUUAGUCGGGAGCUAAGGUGAGGCCUAACGGCGUAGCCGAUGCACAGACGGUAGAGAUUCCGUCACCACCAAAAGAGUUAAACACAGGGACACAUUUGAAGUCUCGGAGCCGGGUGUUGGUUCCGGUAGCGAUCGAGGGAAGUUAGUACCGAAGUCCGGGAUGGAAGAUGGCGAGAAAAGCUGUGUGUAUUUCUGCGGUGCCCGUACCGCAAACCGACACAGGUAGGUAGGAAGAAGAUUCUAAGGCCAACGGGAGAAGGGUUGUUAAGGAACUCGGCAAAUUGACCCCGUAACUUCGGGAGAAGGGGUGCUCCAGAGAUGGAGCCGCAGAGAAUCGGCCCAAGCAACUGUUUACCAAAAACACAGGUUUGUGCUAAAUCGAAAGAUGACGUAUACGAGCUGACGCCUGCCCGGUGCUGGAAGGUUAAGAGGAGAUGUGCAAGCAUUGAAUCGAAGCCCCAGUGAACGGCGGCCGUAACUAUAACGGUCCUAAGGUAGCGAAAUUCCUUGUCAGGUAAGUUCUGACCCGCAUGAAAGGCGUAAUGAUUUGGGCACUGUCUCGACAGCCCGCCCGGCGAAAUUGUAGUACCGGUGAAGAUGCCGGUUACCCGCGACAAGACGGAAAGACCCCAUGGAGCUUUACUGUAGCCUAAUAUUGGGUUUCGAUGUUGCAUGCACAGGAUAGAUGGGACACAGGGAAACAAGUGCUUUGGCAUUUGUGGAGUGGCCGUUGGGAUACCAUCCUUGCGAUAUUGGAAUUCUAACCUGCGCCUUUGAAUCAAGGCGGGGGACAUUGUUAGGUGGGCAGUUUGACUGGGGCGGUCGCCUCCUAAAGAGUAACGGAGGCGUUCAAAGGUUCGCUCAGCUUGAACGGAAAUCAAGCAAAAGAGUGCAAACGCAGAAGCGAGCCUAACUGCGAGACUGACGGGUCGAGCAGUAACGAAAGUUGGAGUUAGUGAUCCGGUGGUAUGUGAGUGGAAAUGCCAUCGCUCAACGGAUAAAAGUUACCCUGGGGAUAACAGGCUGAUCUCCCCCAAGAGUCCACAUCGACGGGGAGGUUUGGCACCUCGAUGUCGGCUCAUCGCAUCCUGGGGCUGUAUUCGGUCCCAAGGGUUUGGCUGUUCGCCAAUUAAAGCGGUACGCGAGCUGGGUUCAGAACGUCGUGAGACAGUUCGGUCCCUAUCUGUCGUGGGCGCAGGAUAUUUGAUGGGAGCUGUUCCUAGUACGAGAGGACCGGAGCGGACGUACCUCUGGCGCACCAGUUGUUCUGCCAAGGGCAUAGCUGGGCAACUAUGUACGGAUCGGAUAAACGCUGAAAGCAUCUAAGCGUGAAGCCGACCCAAAGAUAAGAUAUCCCAUUGUUUCAAACAAGUAAGACCCCUUGAAGACUACAAGGUUGAUAGGCAUGAUGUGUAAGUGGAGUGAUCCAUUCAGCAAGCAUGUACUAAUAGGUCGAGGGCUUGACCAC
rnacentral:rRNA from 1 species